GACGGAGGGUGCAAGCGUUGUUCGGAAUUACUGGGCGUAAAGCGCGGGCAGGUGGUCUUUUAAGUCCUUUGUGAAAUCCCGGGGCUCAACUCCGGAUGUGCAUAGGAUACUGGAAGACUGGAGACUGGUAGAGGCGAGCGGAAUUCCUGGUGUAGCGGUGGAAUGCGUAGAUAUCAGGAGGAACACCAAUAGCGAAGGCAGCUCGCUGGGACGUUACUGACGCUGAGGCGCGAAAGCGUGGGGAGCAAACAGG
rnacentral:rRNA from 1 species